rnacentral:rRNA from 1 species
GGGUAGGGGAGCGUUCUGUAAGCCUGUGAAGGUGUGUCGUGAGGCAUGCUGGAGGUAUCAGAAGUGCGAAUGCUGACAUAAGUAACGAUAAAGCGGGUGAAAAGCCCGCUCGCCGGAAGACCAAGGGUUCCUGUCCAACGUUAAUCGGGGCAGGGUGAGUCGACCCCUAAGGCGAGGCCGAAAGGCGUAGUCGAUGGGAAACGGGUUAAUAUUCCCGUACUUGGUGUUACUGCGAAGGGGGGACGGAGAAGGCUAUGUUGGCCGGGCGACGGUUGUCCCGGUUUAAGCGUGUAGGUGUGUGUUCCAGGUAAAUCCGGUUCACUUUAACACUGAGGCGUGACGACGAGGCACUACGGUGCUGAAGCAACAAAUGCCCUGCUUCCAGGAAAAGCCUCUAAGCAUCAGGUAACAUCAAAUCGUACCCCAAACCGACACAGGUGGUCAGGUAGAGAAUACCAAGGCGCUUGAGAGAACUCGGGUGAAGGAACUAGGCAAAAUGGUGCCGUAACUUCGGGAGAAGGCACGCUGACAUGUAGGUGAAGUGAUUUACUCAUGGAGCUGAAGUCAGUCGAAGAUACCAGCUGGCUGCAACUGUUUAUUAAAAACACAGCACUGUGCAAACACGAAAGUGGACGUAUACGGUGUGACGCCUGCCCGGUGCCGGAAGGUUAAUUGAUGGGGUCAGCGCAAGCGAAGCUCCUGAUCGAAGCCCCGGUAAACGGCGGCCGUAACUAUAACGGUCCUAAGGUAGCGAAAUUCCUUGUCGGGUAAGUUCCGACCUGCACGAAUGGCGUAAUGAUGGCCAGGCUGUCUCCACCCGAGACUCAGUGAAAUUGAACUCGCUGUGAAGAUGCAGUGUACCCGCGGCAAGACGGAAAGACCCCGUGAACCUUUACUAUAGCUUGACACUGAACAUUGAGCCUUGAUGUGUAGGAUAGGUGGGAGGCUUUGAAGUGUGGACGCCAGUCUGCAUGGAGCCGACCUUGAAAUACCACCCUUUAAUGUUUGAUGUUCUAACGUGGACCCGUUAUCCGGGUUGCGGACAGUGUCUGGUGGGUAGUUUGACUGGGGCGGUCUCCUCCUAAAGAGUAACGGAGGAGCACGAAGGUUGGCUAAUCCUGGUCGGACAUCAGGAGGUUAGUGCAAUGGCAUAAGCCAGCUUGACUGCGAGCGUGACGGCGCGAGCAGGUGCGAAAGCAGGUCAUAGUGAUCCGGUGGUUCUGAAUGGAAGGGCCAUCGCUCAACGGAUAAAAGGUACUCCGGGGAUAACAGGCUGAUACCGCCCAAGAGUUCAUAUCGACGGCGGUGUUUGGCACCUCGAUGUCGGCUCAUCACAUCCUGGGGCUGAAGUAGGUCCCAAGGGUAUGGCUGUUCGCCAUUUAAAGUGGUACGCGAGCUGGGUUUAGAACGUCGUGAGACAGUUCGGUCCCUAUCUGCCGUGGGCGCUGGAGAA